CUUGUCUCCGAACGUAUACCACAGGGCUGACGGACAGCACUGUGGCCGAAUCGCUUCCUCAGCUGUGGAGGUCUGCUCUAAUCCAGGAUGAGUUUCCCUGAAGCACAACGUGCAGCUUGUAUCAAAGUUCCUGACCGAGCAGGAGAACCCACUCUCAAUCUCCCCAACCUCUUACUCAAAGUGCAGCCAUGGAGCCAAGGAUGAAAGCAUCCCACUCAAGGUACAUCAUUAUUCAAAGGAAGCUGCCUCCACAGCAGGGGUCGCCACACCCUUCCCCUUAAGACGGAGUCCCCACAGGGAUCACCGCAAACUCCACAAAAAAAAACAUAACUACUACCUCACCACCCUCUACAUUAAAACUACGCCCCACCUCUGCAACCAGAAACAAAGUCCAUCGCAUCAGACGCUGGUUUGGUCAGGAUUCUGUGGAUGGUGGUUCUAUCUGAUGGUGGUUGCCUCUGCAGUGGUCCUGCUGUGCGCCUGGCUUACUACUCACAAUUACUUGAAUCAUUUCUGUCAUAGGAAUUGCAUGUAUUAUACAUUGUUCAUUCUGUACACAUGGCAUCCAUUGUAGUCUGUCCAUCCCGGGAGUGGGAUCCCUCCUCUGACGUUCUCCCUAAGGUUUCUUCCCUUUUUUCCCUGUUGGAGGGUUUUUUCAUUUUUUGGGGAGUUUUUCCUGUGCCGAUGGUGGGUUUCGGGGCAGAGGAUGUUGUAUGUGUACAGACUGUAAAGCCCUCUGAGGCAAAUUUGUAAUUUGCGAUUCUGGGCUAUACAAAAUAAAAUGAAUUGACUUGACUUGACUUGGUUUGGGGAGUGCAGCGAACUGAAAAAUGUCAAUGGGUUUUGAUCGGUAUACACAACUACUGGUUUUCCCCCAGUGCCGACAUAAACUUCAUUAAGCGCCAGUGUUUCCUUCUCUAUUGUUGAAUAGUUGCUCUGACAUGAAUUGAACUUCUUUGAGAAGUGGCUGAGGAACUUCAAGGGACCUGAAGGGGAACGGGAUCCAAGGAAGGCUCGCCGCCUAGCUUUGUGCUCCGGAGGAACUGAGGCUAAUUGCCUUCGUGAACACGACUACAUCUGAG
ensembl:lncRNA